GGGAGUUUUCAUGGUGGUGUGACCUGGAGGAGAGAUCCAGUCCAGCUAGGAAGUGUGGGGGCCUCAGGCUGGGUCCCGGUGGACAGAAAAGGUCACUCCAAUGUGCCCACCGCCUAUCUCCUGUGAUCCUGCCACCUGGGCUCUGGGGGUGACUGAGUUUUCCCCCCAAGAGCUGUCUCCUUUCCUGGAAUGCCCCCCGCAGCCUCCCCUGCCCACACACUGGUAGGUGGUGGAAGAGACACAGGAAGGGCUUUGGAACUGGACUUGGGGUCCAUUUCUGGCUUCAUUGCUGCACCCUGGCCUCAUGAGCUCUCCAAGCCUGCUUCCUCCACUGUAACUGGGCUUUGUGGCUCCGCCUCAUCCCUCAUUGUUACUGACAAGGGUCAAUUCCUUAGCCAUUCUGUAUACGCCAGGCGUGGGUGAGGGUCUGGAGGCAUCAGGCUCUUGGCAGCAAACAGCCCGAGCAGCGAGCCCGAGCCAGAGCCAGGGUGGGCACCGCCAUGUCGGAUUCCCUUUCCUCCCACACUGCGCACAGCCUCCUUCCUGUCUCAGAACAAGUGGCUUCCUGUCUGCUGGACUCAGCCGUGCUUCCUUCCCAGCUUCAGCAAACCGUCAACUCCAAAGACGGCUCCCACCUGAGAUGCUCUUCUGCAGGGUGCCCUGGCCGUGCCACCCAUCAGGACUCCAGAAGCCUUGACCUGGGGACUGUGCCUGUCGGAACCAGCUGCCAUGCGGUGAGAGUCCCCAGGCCCAUGGUGAGGCACGGGUGGACACUCCAGUGAACAGUCCCAGCUGAGCUCCCCAGUGACGGCCAGCAUCACUGGAAGCCACGUGAGUGACCUUUUCGGACAGCUAGAGCAGUCGAGCCCUCAGAACACCUGGCCAAAACCGUAAGAGAGACUCCAUGUGAGGACCACCGGCCGGGCCCAGCCAACUUCAGGAGCAGAGUAAGUGCCAAGUACUUGUUUGAAACCGCCAAGCAAGUGGUUAUAGAGCAGCAGAUGCCCAGCACGCCAGCCUUCCCGCAUGGUCCCCUCCAAGCCCGGACAGUCAGGGACUGGGUCCACAGAACACAGCCUAGCCUCUGCCUUCCCGCUGUACCUCUCCUUAUUACCUUGGAAGGAUGCCUUCCUGCUGGGCCAGAUUCCUGCUCCGCUCUGCGCAGAGGCCUGCUAAUCACUUACGGAGUGCUGCGGCCGGGGAUUUAGCUCAGCGGUUCUGCCCCCCGCUUCACAAGCAUAGGUCCCAAGUUCGAUCCCUGGUACCAAGAAAACAAACAAAAAAAGUAGCUCACCACUUAAGGACUGUUGGUCUCAAAAUGGGUUUAUUAACCUCGAAGGUAUCCAACCUCUCUCAUCCUCCUGCGAGACCGAGGACAUCAAGAGAACAGUAAAUAAGGUAUUUUCAAGAUUUGCUGGGACUUUUAAUUGCCGCUUUUUACAAUGUCCUGUUCCAGACCCCCUGGUGCAGGUUCUAGAAGUCUCCAACCACUGUCCUAAACUUGCGGUCCAGCACACAGAGCACCCCGUGUUAAGAUCACCUCCCUAACUAAGCAGGAGCGAUCGUCUCAGGGGAACCAGACGACCCCAAGCAAAGGCUCUCCACAGCACCUCCCAGAGUUGAAAUGAGAAAACCAAACUGCGGCCACCACGCCUGGGAGAGGACAACCACAUGAGAGGUCCCAGUACGCUGCUGCCCUGCUCCUGCCUCUCAGCUUCCCCUACCCGCAGCCUGGCUCAGGAAGGCAAGGAGCCGCACUGGCCGGGUCUUGGCUCCGUUCGGCUCCCUUCCUGUCUUCCUGUCUUCUCCUGCCCACUGAGAAUCUAUACUUAGAAGCAGGGGUUCAUCUCACAGCAGAUGAGGAAGGCUCCAUCCUAUUAGAUCCAACAGGGCAAGGGUGAUAGUUUUGGGGGCCGCACAAGGAGCGACCUGUGUUACUCCAAGGCUGGCUGCAGAGGUGGGGUGCGGCAGAAUACAGUGUGUGUCCGGACACGGGCCGGCGAAAGGGCAGCCUCACGUGGAGGCUCCUUCUCCUUGGCAUUAAAAAUAAAUCAUUUAAUAUUAAUGUACAUAAUUAUGGUUUUUGCUUUUCAUAAG